rnacentral:rRNA from 1 species
AUUGAACGCUGGCGGCAGGCCUAACACAUGCCAGUCGAACGGUAACAGGAAGAAGCUUGCUUCUUUGCUGACGAGUGGCGGACGGGUGAGACAUGUCUGGGAAACUGCCUGAUGGCGGGGGAUAACUACUGGAAACGGUAGCUAGUACCGCAUAACGUCGCAAGCCCAAGGAGGGGGACCUUCGGGCCGCUUGCCUGCGGAUUUGCCCAGGUGGGAUUAGCUAGUAGGUGGGGUAACGGCUCACCUAGGCGACGAUCCCUAGCUGGUCUGAGAGGAUGACCGGCCACACUGGAACUGAGACACGGUCCAGACUCCUACGGGAGGCAGCAGUGGGGAAUAUUGCACAAUGGGCGCAAGCCUGAUGCAGCCAUGCCGCGUGUAUGAAGAAGGCCUUCGGGUUGUAAAGUACUUUCAGCGGGGAGGAAGGGAGUAAAGUUAAUACCUUUGCUCAUUGACGUUACCCGCAGAAGAAGCACCGGCUAACUCCGUG